CAUGCAUACUUUUGUAUGCAUGCAUAUACAACAGGAAAAUAAACAAAAGAAAACAAAAAUGAGUGCUUUAUGUUAAAAAUGAAGAGACAAAUACGGUUUUUGAGUUUUUUUUUUUUUAAUAUGAUAAGUAAAUAGUGUAGUCAAGAUUGAAAAGAAACAUCUUGAGAAUCAAUGACAAGGGAAGCUAUGUGGCAUAUCCAUAUAUUAAUAAUAUGAUGAUUAACAAUAAUUUUUGGGUGCUACGAAAAUUUAAUAAGGAACCUUUCUAAUUUCUAAUGAUGUACUUAACUAAAAUUCUUUAAUUUCCCUAUCUCUAAUCAACUGCCAAAAGGAGAAUAAUAGAAUAUGCAAAGCCAUGCAUGUAAAAUGGCUAAAUUUUAAGUGAAAGAAAUAACGACUAUUGCAUACAAGAUGUGUAGACAAGUAGCAUUGGCAUAUUUCUUUUCACAUUUUCAACUUCAUUUUUUCCCUUUAUGGUUCGGUGGGGAUGUUUAGUUUGCCACAAAAUUUCAACAAACCUAUUUAUAUCACAUAAGAAGCUUUUAACAUACCUAUUGUACUAACAUGUCUACUAUAAUUAAAUAAAGCAUUUGUGUAUUGUUACAUCAAGAAUCAAUUUUGUAGACCAUUAGCACAAACCAUUAGCACAGAUAAUUCGAACACUAAAAAGAGAGAAGGAAACCAGACAACCAGUUGGUUUAUAGACCAUUUUCAAGUGAGUUACAAACGUCAUCAUUAAAUUUAGCACAAGUAAUUUCAAAGUAGUUUAACUUGCACGACAACUGUGAAUUUGUGGUUUAAAACUUAACAUUUCUAAUUAUACAUCAUUUUUAAAAAAUCAUUUUAAGCUCAAAAUGACAUGUAGAAAAUGUAAGAGCACCCUAACAAUCCAAAAAUCCAGAACCAAAAAAGGUUUCAUUACCACAAUUCGGUCACUCCCAUUUUUACCAAUCCGAUCCGUAUUAUUGAGUGAUUGAAAAGAAUGACACAAUUACACAUGCAGGUAGAAAAAUAUCAAAGCA